AAAAGCAGAGACAUCAUUUUGCUGACAAAGGUUUGCAUAGUCAAAAGUAUGAUUUUUCCAUUAGUCAUGUAUGGAUAUGAGAGUUGAACCAUAAAAACUGAGCACUGAAGAAUUUCUGCUUUCAAACUGUGGUCCUGUAGAAGGCUCUUGAGAGUCCCUUGGACAGCAAAGAGAUCAAACCAGUCAAUNNNNNNNNNNNNNNNNNNNNNNNNNNNNNNNNNNNNNNNAUACUUUGGCCACCUGAUGUGAAGAGCUGACUGAUUGGAAAAGACCCUGAAGGCACAAGAAGAAGGGGGCAGCAGAGGAAGAGAUGGUUAGAAAGCAUCACUCAAUGAACAUGAAUCUAAGCAAACUCCAGGAGAAAGUGGAGGAUAGAGGAGCCCGGCACACUGCAGUCCAUGAGGUCGCAGAGUUGGACAGGACUUAGUGACUGAACAACAACAACAGGAAGCUGCAUACUUAGUCACUGAUCAGAACAAGCCGCACCCUUCCACGCUUUGUUUACCAUUUCUGUUUUCCCUAUUUAUUGUUUUAAAUUGAUUUUCCAUUUCUCUAGUGAGCAUCAUGUUCCAAGCAAAGCUGGGAAAUUCAGUUUAUAUACACACUACCGACAUCAGUUUUUCUAUCAGGAGUUAUUGAAUAUGAAUAGGAUGUACAGCAGGAAGGAAAAGAAUUCAGUAGAAGUGGAGAGGCAUGUGGACUUGGAGGGGAUAAACCUGAAGCAUGCUGUUGCUCUUCUGCAGCCCAUUCCAGCUGCGUAGAGGAGGUGAAAGGAGCCAUCAACAUGCCCUGGAACCUCUGCCGCGGUUGCCAUAAAAGGAAGAGUCACGUACGACCUCUCUUUGAAGUACUGAAAGAAAAAAGAGAAACAAACACCUGACAUGAGCUAUAUCAUUACCUUGGUUUAACUGAUACUUAAAAACUGUCCUCUGUUGUUAUCAUUUUUUGAAACUGAGCUCUAUCAUAUCUUAGCUACAACCUAUGAGAAAACUCUAAGAGGAAAUCCCAGGAAGAAUUGACUUUUCAAUCUUCCGUCUUUCAAUUUCUUUGCUUGCAAAUAAAAUUAGUAUUAGAGGCCUUAGAACAAAAUCAGUACUACUCAUAUCCUGCUUAGGUAAGCCAGAUGACAUACUUGUUUAUUCAGAAACUGAAAGUUCCUUUCACUUUUAUUAUUUUCCAGCCUAGGGUUUCAAANNAUCCUUGAAUAGUUCUCAAAUAAAUGGGAAUUUACCAUGGCGGUGCAUACACCCAGAGGU
rnacentral:lncRNA from 1 species